GUUGGGAAACAGAGAGGACACUGGGGAGAGGAAAGUUAAAGGGAAAAUCCGGAACACAGAGAUCGCUUCUGGUCUCUGCGGAGGAAGCCAGGCCCCCAGGGCGCCCAUAUCCAGCAGGUGGCAGUAAAGUGUUUUGUCCAAACUAAAUUACAACGACUACUUCCCAAUAGAUGGAAGCAAAGCGUCUGGACGAAGGAGAGCUUUUUUCUCAUGGUGCUGCUGUGUUAGCCUAGUGACAGCUCUGUAUGGCCCACACCUGGUCCACAGGAAGCUCUCAGGCACCUCUUGCCCGAACAAACUUGGGAGUACAGGCUAAUCCCAGUGCAGAUUCAACAUUCCUCUACUCUGCUGCCAAAACAGCCGCCAGCCUGUGGGAGUCAGACACAGGCCCACGGUGCCCCUCAGACUGCAGGAGGUACAAGUCAAGUGCUCUGAGGAGUUCCAUUGAAGGCCCACUCCCUCGACUUGAAGUAAAAGGCAGGCAGGCACCUGUGGAUCUGCUGAAUACAGACAUUUUUGAUUGUCACCACUGGAGAGGUGCUAUUGGCUGGUGGGAGAAGGUCAAGGAUGCUGGUAAACAUCCUUUACGGCACAGGACAGCCCCUACAGCAAAGAACAGCAAUUCUGUUUGUUACAGAGAUGAGAGAAUACCUCACUAAAAGAAUACUUCAAAAUUACAUCACUUUUUCUUCUUUUUUCCUACAAAUUCUUUACCUGUAGAUGGAAACGUCACAUUUCAAUAUAUCAAUAGAGUCAAAAAUAGCAUUUGCAAUAGCUAUUUGGCCAGGAUGAGAAGUGACUGGUAUAGACCAAUCCUUUGUGUUUCCAAGACUCCCUCUGGAGAUGAGGCCAUGCCAGGAAAAUUAGUACUUGAGAUAAAAUUGUUAUUUAUUUGCAAGAUGACUUUUAAGCCUGGAAAACAAGCAUUCUAUCCAGCUUAUCUGAACAGAGGCAUUAUGCCUCUCAGAAGUAAGGUCAUGAGUCACAUCACUGUGGAAGGAAUAUAUCUUUGCUACAACCUGGAGUGCAUUCUAGAUGCCAGGGAGGACCUCAGCAUAUCUGCCUCCCCAAGGUCACCAGUGUCACUGGAAUGAGACUUGAAGUCGGGAAGUAGCUGUCUCUGCAGUUACUUUACAGAUGGCUAAUAAUGCCCUCAUUAUUCACAGAGAAUGCAAAUGGGUUCUUCCAUCCUUUACAUGAGUUUGACUGAAUUCAUCUCUUCCAGAUGUAGCAGGAUGUUGAGCCCUUCCCUUGCACCAUCAGUAAGGAAACUUUUAAUCAGGUGUUUUCCUUACCGUUACUGAUCUCCCUGAGCAAGGCUGUUUGAGUACUGGGAUAUAGAUUAACUUGAGUUCAGUCAAGGCUGCCUUGUCUUUCUUAAUACGAUGUUAAUAAGAAACGAGCCACCCUAGCCAGAAAAGCCAAAAAGAUAUAUUCUAUCCCCACCAAUUCUAUCACUUAAAAGUAAAAUAGAUAAAACAAACAUUCCAAGUUCCAGUUCUAGCCCUGUUACUAGCCUUUUGACUCUGGUCAAGUUACUUAACUUAGUUGUACCUUAGAUUCCCCAUUAGUCAAAUAGGGAAACAGACUUAAAUGAAUUGGUAUGCAUAAAAGUGCUUUAUUAGCCAUAUACAAUUUUUUCAGUUCCCUCUCCUAUACUGCAUUCAGAGGCCUAGAGAACAACCUGAAAAUGUCUUGCUUUCAUAUCUGGAUUUUUAUUGCCAGGAAUGAGGCCCAGUGUGAACACCUUUCUUGACAGAAAUUGCCAAAUCUUUGUCUAUCUAUUUGUAAAUGAAAACCAAGAACCACUAAGAAUUCCCCCAAACUCUCGGUGCUGGUUUUAAGAUCUUCUGAGCCUUGUAAGUUACAGUAAAUACAAGCACAUCUCUUCCCCAAUUAGAAGCAUAUUUACACUGCCAAUUUGUAGAACAAGACAUGACUGUAAAUACAGAUAGGAAGCCAUCAUUACAUGCAGUCUUGUGUGCAGGGAAAAACAAGUGCAUAUGGAGAUGAGAUUGUGACUACUCUUGAUUCUCACAGAGCAGUAAAAUGCUAUCAAAUUCAGUCAAACUCAGCUAAUGAAUUUUCUCCUUGAGGUAGUCUCCUCUACUGGGAAGAAAGGAAGAACUAAAAACACAUCAAAUUUAAAUCCUCUGGUAAAAGAGAAGCAACUCACCAUUAGAGAGAUGUAUUGCUGGCUCUUCCAAGAAAUGGAGUGGAAAUCUUUCUGUGCCACUUUGCCCAGGACCAUUGUGCCAGUGUGCAAGAAUGUGUGUUUUUCAUAAACAGAAAAAUAUCACUAGCUGCAAAGAGAAGAAACUGUUCCAGGGUGUACAGAUCCCACGCCAGCCUCCAAAAUAAUGGCAAAUACUGUUCUGAUCUUAGCAACCCAGAAUAACCUUUGUGCCAUUUAUUUAUUCAACACAUAUUUCUUGGGCAGAUAUUAUGGGUCAGGCACUGUGCUAGGCGAUAUGAUCAUGAUCUCUGCCCUGGAAAAGCUUCAUCUUACAUAUCUCUGGAAUAAAAUAUUUUGGUGGAAUAGAACCAAAGUUAACAUAAUGUGGAUUUCAGCUUCUAUAUUCACUCAUAUAGCCACUGGUGCCAGUCACAUCCAGUUUGGAGAGCUGGAACAAUUAACAGUAAGUCUCAUCUUUGCCAAGUCCACAUAUUUGGCCUGAUAACUCAGAAUUCAGUGUAUGACAAUAAUGUAGGCCAAUACUAUCAUCAGCUAUAAGACUAAUUUGUUUUGGUUUCUUUAUUAAAUUCCUAUAAUCAGCUAGAUAUUUUUUCCACAAUCAGAACUUUUAUUGUUGAAAAUAAAUAAAUAACAAAGAAUAAA